GACGAACGCUGGCGGCGUGCUUAACACAUGCAAGUCGAACGGGAUCCAACCAAUGGCAACAUUGGGGAAGAUCUAGUGGCGAACGGGUGAGUAACACGUGAGGAACCCACCCCGAUCUCAGGAAUAACAGUGGGAAACCACUGCUAAUACCGGAUGUCUUCCUCGAGCUUCAUGGCUCGGCGAAGAAAGGGUUACCGGAGUCGGGAGGCCUCGCGGCCUAUCAGCUUGUUGGCGGGGAACCGCCCACCAAGGCGUCGACGGGUAGCUGGUCUGAGAGGAUGAUCAGCCACACUGGGACUGAGACACGGCCCAGACUCCGUACGGGAGGCAGCAGUGGGGAAUCUUGCGCAAUGGGCGAAAGCCUGACGCAGCAACGCCGC
rnacentral:rRNA from 1 species